UUCUCCUUGAUUCAAAACAAUGCCUGACAUGUUUCAGGGAUAAACCAGACUGGUACACUGGUGAGUCAUGUGAAAUUCAUUUCUUCUAUACUUGAGGGAAACAUUUUAAAGCUCAGCAUAGGAUGGAGCAGCCUUGGUUAUUCUGGGUGACCUUACAGAGCAUAGAUAAAAUGGAAGAGUUUUGGAGUAAGAAGACUAUUCACAUUCAGUUCAUGAUUUAUUAUCCAUGAGACUAUGCUUCUAAAUCCACACAAACUUUGGAGAUGACUUCUGAUUUCCAUUCAAGGGCCUGACCAGAUGUCUUCUAUCUGCUAACUUGUUAUAGCUUAUAAAAUUGAUAUUGAUUGAGCAAAUAGUCAUGAAGAUAGAUUUUUUCUCCUCAUGCAAGAUUUAUAAAACAGAAGUGUUGUUUGACUCCUCAAAGAAAUAACCUAUCAAGAGAAUGAAAUACUUAAUUGUUUUUCUACCUAUUACAUUAUUUUUCCAGAAUAUGUAUUUCCUCAAAUUUAAUCAAAUCUCUAAAGAAAUUACAGUUGAUGAAAUUUUCCUGUCAAUCUUUGUCAUAUUUAAUUUUACUCUA